rnacentral:rRNA from 1 species
UACGUAGGUGGCAAGCGUUGUCCGGAUUUACUGGGCGUAAAGAGCGCGCAGGCGGUCGUCCAAGUCGCGUGUGAAAGCCCCCGGCUCAACUGGGGAGGGUCACGCGAUACUGGUCGACUCGAAGGCAGGAGAGGGUAGUGGAAUUCCCGGUGUAGUGGUGAAAUGCGUAGAUAUCAUUUGGAACGCCAAUGGUGAAAACAGGUAGCUGGGGCUGUGCUGACACUGAGACACGAAAGCCAGGGGAGCAAACGGG